UACGGGGGGGGCAAGCGUUGUUCGGAAUUACUGGGCGUAAAGGGCUCGUAGGCGGCCAACUAAGUCGGAUGUGAAAUCCCCAAGCUUAACUUGGGAACUGCAUCCGAUACUGGAUGGCUUGAAUCCGGGAGAGGGAUGCAGAAUUCCAGGUGUAGCGGUGAAAUGCGUAGAGAUGUGGAGGAACACCGAUGGCGAAGGCAGCCUCCUGGGCCAGCACUGACGCUCAUGCACGAAAGCGUGGGGAGCAAACAGG
rnacentral:rRNA from 1 species